AUGAAUGAGGACAAGGACAAGGACGAUGAGGAAUAUGAGGAGAAAAAUCUGUUUAUAGUCCCGCCACAAGUGAGUGCUGAUAUGUUGGAUGAUGAUACAUCAGAAGGGUAUAAGGAAUCAGCUGAUGAACUAGAAGGUGACACUAUGUCCGAGGAAUCACUCGUGCAUGUUGACUCUAGUGAGGAGGAGGCAAGAGAAAGGAAAAAGAACAAGAACAAGAGGCCAAGAGCCAAUGCUCCUGUUAGGAUGUCAUCUGAUAUUUCGGCCCAUUUUCACAUGGUCAAAGAGCCAGGAGCAUCCCGGAGAGAUGGUGCUGAAGGCCGCUUGUAA
rnacentral:rRNA from 1 species